GCCCUAGUAACGGCGAGUGAAGCGGCAACAGCUCAAAUUUGAAAUCUGGCGUCUUUGGCGUCCGAGUUGUAAUUUGCAGAGGGCGCUUUGGCAUUGGCAGCGGUCCAAGUUCCUUGGAACAGGACGUCACAGAGGGUGAGAAUCCCGUACGUGGUCGCUAGCCUUUACCGUGUAAAGCCCCUUCGACGAGUCGAGUUGUUUGGGAAUGCAGCUCUAAAUGGGAGGUAAAUUUCUUCUAAAGCUAAAUACUGGCCAGAGACCGAUAGCGCACAAGUAGAGUGAUCGAAAGAUGAAAAGCACUUUGGAAAGAGAGUUAAAAAGCACGUGAAAUUGUUGAAAGGGAAGCGCUUGCAGCCAGACUUGCCUGUAGUUGCUCAUCCGGGUUUCUACCCGGUGCACUCUUCUACGGGCAGGCCAGCAUCAGUUUGGGCGGUUGGAUAAAGGUCUCUGUCAUGUACCUCCCUUCGGGGAGAUCUUAUAGGGGAGACGACAUGCAACCAGCCUGGACUGAGGUCCGCGCAUCUGCUAGGAUGCUGGCGUAAUGGCUGUAAGCGGCCCGUCUUGAAACACGGACCAAGGAGUCUAACAUCUAUGC
rnacentral:rRNA from 1 species